rfam:Crassostrea gigas strain 05x7-T-G4-1.051#20 contig14002, whole genome shotgun sequence.
CCCCCGGCCCUUUUAAGGGCCACCACAUCUUUAGAAAAGAUGUCUCU